rnacentral:rRNA from 1 species
CUUUUUGAAGAUAAUCUUAGGUCUAACCUGCCCAAUGAUAGUUAAAUGGCCGCGGUAUUUUGACCGUGCAAAGGUAGCAUAAUCAUUUGUUUUUUAAUUGAAAGCUGGAAUGAAGGGUUGAAUGAAGAAAUAGCUGUCUCUAUUUAAAUUUUUUAGAAUUUUAUUUUUAAGUUAAAAAGCUUAAAUAAAUUUUGAAGACGAGAAGACCCUAUAGAGUUUAAUAAUUAAUUUAUUUAAGAGAAUUAGAAUUUAUUUUAUUUGAUUAUAAUUAAUUAUUUAAUUGGGGUGAUUUAAAAAUUAGAUAAACUUUUUUUAUAUAAUUACAUUAAUUAAUGAAUAAUUGAUCCUUACUUUAAGAUUAUAAGAUUAAAUUACCUUAGGGAUAACAUCGUAAUUUUUUUUUAGAGUUCAAAUCGAAAAAAAAGAUUGCGACCUCGAUGUUGGAUUAAAAUUAAUUUUUGGUGUAGUAGCUAGA